rnacentral:rRNA from 1 species
GACGUAGGGGGCGAGCGUUGUCCGGAUUUACUGGGCGUAAAGAGCGCGUAGGCGGUCUGUUAAGUCAGAAGUGAAAUCUCCAGGGCUCAACCCGGAAACUGCUUUUGAUACUGAUAGACUUGAGUGUCGGAGAGGUAACUGGAAUUCCUGGUGUGGCGGUGACAUGCAUUCAUAUCAGGAGGAACACCCAUGGCGAAGGCAGGUUACUGGCCGACAACUGACGCUGAGGCGCUAAAGCGUGGGUAGCAAACAGA